rnacentral:tRNA from 1 species
GGGUCUGUAGCUUAAUAGGUAAAGCGUCUAGCUGGCUGCUAGAAAGAUGCCGGUUCAAAGCCGGCCAGUAUCCA